AAAGUUUCUUGAGUAGGUAAAAAACUCACCUUUGAAUGAGCAAAGAAACUUUGCUCAUUCAAAGGUGAGUUUUUUUACCUACUCACAGAUUU